UGCCCGGCCCGGCGCCGCCGAGCUACAGGGGAAGACGUCAUCAGCCUCGGAGCUGGGUCCGCUUGCUGCGCGCUGGCUCGCGGCCCGGCCCCCGCCCUGCCGUCCGGCCUGCUCUUGGCGCGUCCCCAGGGACUGGGCCCGCGCCGCGCUCCGGGCCCAGCGGGGAGGCGGAGGGCUCGCUGCCAGCUGAGGCUGACCUCUGGGAUGCGAGCGGCCGGGAGAAUGGGCGACGUGCCACCUGCCUUGGCCUCGCCGCUCCUCCGUCUCUCCCUCCCCGAGUCCCCUUCCCCGUGCCCCUCGGCCUUCGACCUGAGCCGAAAGGGGCUUCCUGCGCUUUUGCAUACUCUUGUGCCCCUUUCUCUCAUUUCCUCAUCACUAACAGGCGGGGAAACUGAGGUUCCCCAAGCGAAGCUACUGACUUGCCCAGAACCACACUACUGGGGUGUGGGGUGGGGCGGCGCGUGGGGCAGCACAGAGGCGCCUAAGAUGAAGUUUGGAGAAAAAUGAACAGCUCUGCCGAUAGAAAAGUCGUUCCUACCAAAAACGACUCGAGCGAGUUGGGGCGGAGAGGUUCAGGGCAAUGCUUUCCUGUUUCCCCGACUUUCUUUAAGGUGGCUUUAAAAUAUCUACAUUUGCCAUGAAAGUGUAAGCGAGCAAACCCCCACCGGGAAAUAAUGCUAUUCCUAGUCUGUGGCCCCCGGAAGACUUGGAGCCAAGGAAGGCAGAUCAAGGGGCUGAAAUCCCGGUCGGGGGUCGCAAGGCCCCGCGGUGGAUUCCCGGGUUUGGCGUUUGGAGGGGUGAGGGGCGACCCGCAGCGCGACUCGACGGCGCCCCCCAGGGGCCGCCCGACACGUUUCUGUCACCUUGGCUCCAGACGGAGCUUCUCCAUCCCUUUAUUACACAAAUAGGCAGUAUACUGAGUGAGCGCCCACUAAGCGCUGGGCUGGGGGGCUCCAACCCGGAACAGAAGCCGGCCCCAACCCUCGCUCCCUGUCGUCGCUUCCGUUAUAGGCUGAAGGCAAAAUCCAAUCCCGGGCCGUUGUGGGCGGAUUGCCAGGACAUGGAUCGCAACGCUUGGGAAGACCCCCCGCCCCCAACGCCCAGCGAUAUCCAUGCCCUGAGUCCCAGUGACGGCCCCCUGGACAGCACAGCCUGCUGCAGCGACGCGACGCGCUAGGAAAAGUUUGCCAACCCCGAUAGGAGCUCAUGGAUGAAAAGUACUUUAGAACAAUGCCUGGCACAGACUCGGAAGCAAGGGCAUGGUUUCUUGUCUCUCUUGGUCCCCAGUACAAAUCUCAAAGCAAGGCUUGUUGAACAAAUAAAUGAAGACGAGCCCAGGAGCCCAGGAAAGGGACCAGGAACAGCAGGGCCUCCAUGACUCACACAAGCCUCAUCCCUGAAGCAAGGAUGCAGCUGCCAACAAUGGCCCCAAGCCACGCCCGCCACUGGGGGAACUGAUGCUGCGGUGAGAAGUGACAGCUUUCUGUUGAUUCUUUUCUUUCUUUUUCUAAAACAGAAUAUGAAUUGAGACAUAAUUUCAUUUUCAUAAUGAGAAAACACUUAGUAACUAAUGUUGUUGGAAGCAAA